GGCUGUUGAAGGAUAGUGGUGUGGUUUCAGAAGUAUGACAUUACAUUUUAGAGAAUGAAGUAUUAAGAAAAACUAUCAAUCAAGUGAACUGUGUCAGAGGUGAUCUUUGUGAAAACCUCAGCUGUGAAGGAUGUAUGUCGGAAGCCCCCAAGUGAACGCUUUUUCCUGGAUAGAUAUGGAAGAAUUUGUUUGUGGUUGCUUGGAUGAAAUUGUAUGGAAGGGAUAUUUGGAAAAUACAGAAAAAGAUAGAAUGAAAAGAUUGGUCAGGUUAAAGCCUCCACUGAGUUCUAAAUGAGAAGUUCAGUACCAGUCAUUAUACAGCCAGCAGUCUGUGUUAUUUGUUCAGCAUCCUGCAACUUGGAAUGGCAAGGCAUUGAAGUUUAUUUCCAACAAUUGUCGGUCAGGCAAACCUCUACAUACGAGCUUUCUUCCUUAGUUUAGGCAAGGAUUUUACUCGGCCAAUAUUUGUAUUCCCCUUAACUUUUAACAUUUUUUUAAAAAUUUUCUACCA